UUUUUGAUUAAUAAUUUAAAGUCUAAUCUGCCCACUGAUAAUAUAUUAAAGGGCUGCAGUAUUUUGACUGUACAAAGGUAGCAUAAUCAAUAGUCUCUUAAUUGGUGACUUGUAUGAAAGAUUUAAUGAGAUAUAUACUGUCUCUUUUUAAUUUAUAAAAUUUAAUUUUUUAGUUAAAAAGCUAAAAUAAAUUUAAAAGACGAGAAGACCCUAUAGAGUUUAAUAUUUAACUAAAUUAAAAUUAUUUAUAAAAUUUAAAAUUUUAAUUUAUAAUAAAUAUUUUGUUGGGGUGAUAAAAAAAUUAAAAGAACUUUUUUUUAUAAAUUUACAUUAAUAAAUGAAUAAAUGAUCCGUAAUUUACGAUUAAAAGAAAAAAUUACCUUAGGGAUAACAGCGUAAUUUUUUUUUUUAGUUCAAAUAAGAAAAAAAGUUUGCGACCUCGAUGUUGGAUUAAGAUAAAAUUUAAAUGCAAAAGUUUAAAAUUUUUGAUCUGUUCGAUCAUUAAAAUCUUACA
rnacentral:rRNA from 1 species